rnacentral:rRNA from 1 species
AGUCGAGCGGUAGAGAGAAGCUUGCUUCUCUUGAGAGCGGCGGACGGGUGAGUAAUGCCUAGGAAUCUGCCUGGUAGUGGGGGAUAACGUUCGGAAACGGACGCUAAUACCGCAUACGUCCUACGGGAGAAAGCAGGGGACCUUCGGGCCUUGCGCUAUCAGAUGAGCCUAGGUCGGAUUAGCUAGUUGGUGGGGUAAUGGCUCACCAAGGCGACGAUCCGUAACUGGUCUGAGAGGAUGAUCAGUCACACUGGAACUGAGACACGGUCCAGACUCCUACGGGAGGCAGCAGUGGGGAAUAUUGGACAAUGGGCGAAAGCCUGAUCCAGCCAUGCCGCGUGUGUGAAGAAGGUCUUCGGAUUGUAAAGCACUUUAAGUUGGGAGGAAGGGUUGUAGAUUAAUACUCUGCAAUUUUGACGUUACCGACAGAAUAAGCACCGGCUAACUCUGUGCCAGCAGCCGCGGUAAUACAGAGGGUGCAAGCGUUAAUCGGAAUUACUGGGCGUAAAGCGCGCGUAGGUGGUUUGUUAAGUUGGAUGUGAAAUCCCCGGGCUCAACCUGGGAACUGCAUUCAAAACUGACUGACUAGAGUAUGGUAGAGGGUGGUGGAAUUUCCUGUGUAGCGGUGAAAUGCGUAGAUAUAGGAAGGAACACCAGUGGCGAAGGCGACCACCUGGACU